AACUGAAACAUCUAAGUACCCCGAGGAAAAGAAAUCAACCGAGAUUCCGAAAGUAGCGGCGAGCGAAAUUGGACUAGCCCUUAAGCUUUACACGCGUUAGACGAACGGUCUGGAAAGUCCGACGAUACAGGGUGAUAGUCCCGUAGUUGACGACGUGUGUUCAGUGAAAUCGAGUAGGGCGGGACACGUGAUAUCCUGUCUGAAUAUGGGGGGACCAUCCUCCAAGGCUAAAUACUACUGACUGACCGAUAGUGAACCAGUACCGUGAGGGAAAGGCGAAAAGAACCCCUGUGAGGGGAGUGAAAUAGAACCUGAAACCGUGUACGUACAAGCAGUAGGAGCAGGCUUUGUCCUGUGACUGCGUACCUUUUGUAUAAUGGGUCAGCGACUUAUAUUCAGUGGCAAGGUUAACCAUCUAGGGGAGCCGUAGGGAAACCGAGUCUUAACUGGGCGUUCAGUCUCUGGAUAUAGACCCGAAACCAGGUGAUCUAGCCAUGGGCAGGUUGAAGGUUGAGUAACAUCAACUGGAGGACCGAACCGACUAAUGUUGAAAAAUUAGCGGAUGACUUGUGGCUAGGGGUGAAAGGCCAAUCAAACCUGGAGAUAGCUGGUUCUCCCCGAAAGCUAUUUAGGUAGCGCCUCGGACGAAUACUACUGGGGGUAGAGCACUGUUAAGGCUAGGGGGUCAUCCCGACUUACCAACCCUUUGCAAACUCCGAAUACCAGUAAGUACUAUCCGGGAGACACACGGCGGGUGCUAACGUCCGUCGUGGAGAGGGAAACAACCCAGACCGCCAGCUAAGGUCCCAAAUUACUACUAAGUGGGAAACGAUGUGGGAAGGCUCAGACAGCCAGGAUGUUGGCUUAGAAGCAGCCAUCAUUUAAAGAAAGCGUAAUAGCUCACUGGUCGAGUCGGCCUGCGCGGAAGAUGUAACGGGGCUAAGUAGUAAACCGAAGCUGCGGCAAUGUGCUUUUGCACAUUGGGUAGGGGAGCGUUCUGUAAGCGGUUGAAGGU
rnacentral:rRNA from 1 species